rnacentral:rRNA from 1 species
AGAGUUUGAUCCUGGCUCAGGACGAACGCUUGCGACGUGCCUAAGAAAUGCAAGUCGAACGGGGCAGUUCUCGGACUGUCUAGUGGCGAACGGUCGCGUAACACGUGGGCAACCUGCCCUGAAGCGGGGGACAACAGCCUGAAAGGGCUGCUAAUACCGCAUGUGAACGGGGGUGGCAUCACUCUUUGUUCAAAGCCUUCGGGCACUUCAGGAUGGGCCCGCGGCCUAUCAGCUGGUUGGGGGGGUAACGGCCCACCAAGGCUUCGACGGGUAGCUGGUCUGAGAGGACGAUCAGCCGGAUUGGGACUGAGAUACGGCCCAGACUCCUACGGGGGGCAGCAAUUAGGAAUCUUGCACAAUGGGGGAAACCCUGAUGCAGCGACGUCGCGUGUGGGAUGAAGCCUUUCGGGGCGUAAACCACUUUUACCGGGGAAGAAGACAGUGACGGUACCCGGUGAAUAAGCCCCGGCUAACUACGUGCCAGCAGCCGCGGUAAUACGUAGGGGGCCAGCGUUGUCCGAAGUUACUGGGCGUAAAGAGCGCGUAGGCGGGUCCUUAAGUGAGGGGUGAAAGGUUCGGGCUUAACCCGGACACUGCCCUUCAUACUGGGGGCCUUGAGUGUGGGAGAGGCGAGUGGAAUUCUUGGUGUAGCGGUGAAAUGCGUAGAUAUCAAGAGGAACACCCAUGGCGAAGGCAGCUCGCUGGCCUAUAACUGACGCUGAGGCGCGAAAGCUGGGGGAGCGAACAGGAUUAGAUACCCUGGUAGUCC